AUGACCUGCUUUAACUAUAGUUGGCCGGGGCACUAUGUAGGGAACUGUAUCGAACCAAAUAAGUGCUUUAUUUGCCCGGGAGGCCAUAAUGUCAAUAACUGUGCUGCAUGGGCGAAACCACAUCCUACAGCGACUUACUUUGGUAGCGCAGCGGCUGGUCUUGGUUUUUACCACAUUGAUGUUCCUACUGCAUCUGAGCUAAGUUGGCUUAACUACAAGAAAUGUGCAAUUCUCAAAGUUAUUAAGGGCGAGGUUCCUGCCUCAGAGUUGCUGAUCCAGCUCAAUGGGAUUUUCGGUAAAAAUAAAGAAUGGCCUUGGCAGAUUAGAGAUUUGGGAGAGAAGAAAUUCUUGCUGAGAUUUCCACCUUGGAAGAAUGUGGAAGACCUGAUUGAGUUUCCUGCUUUUGAGCUCCCAAUUGAUGGUGUUUCUAUUAAGAUCUGUGAAUGGGUGGGGAUGCUGGAUGAAUUUGGAGGACUUACUGAGGCCUGGGUUCAGAUAGAAGGGAUUCCUCCAAAGUGGUGUGCAUGGAAGGUGUUUGCCCAGAUUACAGCUUGUUUUGGGAUCUUAGUGGAUGUGGAUUGGACUGGUAUAUUCAAGAGCUUUUAUGAGAAUAUAAGAGUUAAAGUGGCUUGUAGGGACCCCAGGAAAAUUCCUUUUGAGAGGUUAGUGGAAAUGAAAAGGAAGCUAUACAUUCUGUUCUUUAUUGUUGAGAGUUUUGAG
rnacentral:rRNA from 1 species